rnacentral:rRNA from 1 species
GACGAACGCUGGCGGCGUGCUUAACACAUGCAAGUCGAACGGUAAGGCGCUGCUCUUUUGGGGUGCUCGAGUGGCGAACGGGUGGGUAACGCGUGACUAACCUGCCCUUGACUUUGGUAUAACUUCAGGAAACUGGGGUUAAUCUCGUAUAGGAGCUUCUGCUGCAUGGUGGGGGUGGGAAAGUUUCGGCGGUUGGGGAUGGACUCGCGGGUCAUCAGCUCGUUGGUGGGGUAGUGGCUUACCAAGGCUUUGACGGGUAGCCGGCCUGAGAGGGUGACCGGCACCAUUGGGACUGAGAUACGGCCCAGACUCGUACGGGAGGCAGCAGUGGGGAAUAUUGCACAAUGGGCGGAAGCCUGAUGCAGCAACGCCGCGCGCGGGGUGACGGCCUUCGGGUUGUAAACCGCUUUCGCCUGGGACGAAGGGUGGGUGACGGUAAUGGGUAAAGAAGCACCGGCUAACUACGUG